rnacentral:lncRNA from 1 species
AUGGCAUUGGUUUUAAUCCGCAUCACAGGAGACACCAUGGACAAAGAAAAAGAGAAGCUAGAGAUGGAGAAUACAUCUGCAUUUCCCGGCUCCUAUUUUCCUGUGGGGAUUAGGUAUCAACUACUGGGAAUGAACCCUUCCACACAAUCAGCCACAGCAUCACAUCCACUAAACAGCGGGAAGAGCAGACGUGGGGAUCUCGUUUAUCAGAUGAUGGGUGAAUACCAGGCAAAGCACACUCCGAGGCUGCAGCAGAUGCAGACGUGUAUUAACACAGAUAAGUUUUUAUUGAAUUAAGAGGGAGCACUUAGAAGGAAGACCCUAAAGAGUAAAAGCAUUAAGUCAUUUUGAAACAUUUUUCUCCUGUCAAGGGAGCAAAUGUAACAUCAGCGUGGCCGCCAGAUUCUGACUCACCAGAGCUACGUAGAAUGGCAGCCUCACAUGGGGAGAAAGAAGCACUCGCUGGCAGGUGGCGAGAAAAGCCUCUACCAACAGCAGUCAGAAACAACCCGUCCAUACAACAUGCUAUGAACAGAAUUUCCAGAGAAUACACUGCUUUGACAACAAGGGAAGGUGACAUGUAAGAUACCAAGAUGCUGUUUUAUUAUUUAAAAUCCUAAGAGGUGUUGCUAGACUUUUCUUUCUUAAUACAUUGCAUUUUCUUUCUUUUUUCUUUUUUUGACGCAGUCUUACUCUGUUGCCCAGGCUGGAGUGCAAUGGCGCAGCUCAUUGUAACCUCCGCCUGCCAGGUACAAGCAAUUCUCCUGUCUUGGCCUCCCAAGUAGCUGGAAUUACAGGCACCUGGCACCAAACCUGGCUAAUUUUUUGUAUUUUUAAUAGAGGUGUGGUUUCAUCAUGUUGGCCAGGCUGGUCAUCAACUCUUGACUUCAGGUGAUCCACCCGCCUCAGCCUCCCUAAGUGCUGGGAUUAUAGGCAUGAGCCACCAUGCCUGACUGAUAAACUGCAGUUUCUAAGGGUGGGGCACUUAAUAUAAAGUGUUCAUUACCUUCCUUGCAACCCUGUGGUGGUCAUUACUAUACUUGUAAACCAAAAAGUACCUGAGACAGGUCUCAAUUAAUUUAGUUUAUUUUGCCAAAGUUAAGGGCAUGUCCAAGGAAGACAGGCCUAAGGAGAUCUCGAGAACAUGUGCCCAAGGUGAUUGGGCUACAGCUUGGUUUUAUAUGUUUUAGGGAGACAGAAGACAUCAAUUAACGCAUGUAAGGAGUACAUUGGUUUUGUCUGGAAAGGCAGGACAACUCAAACAGGGGAGAGUGCUUCCCGGUGAUAGGUAGAUUCAAAGAUUUUCGGAUUGGCAAUUGGUUAAAAGAGUUUAUCUAAAGACCUGGAAACCGUGGAAGAAAGUGUCUGGGUUAAGAUAAGGGGUUGUGGAGACCAAGGUUCUUAUUAUGUAGAUGAAACCUCCAGGUAAAAGGCUUCAGAAAGAAUAGAUGGUUAAUGUUUCUUAUCAGACUUAAAAAGGUGCCAGACUCUUAGUUAAUUCUCUCCUUGAUCAGGAAAAGACCUGGAAAAGGAAAGAGAUUCUUUACAGAACGUAGAUUUUCCCCACAAAGAGCUUUGCAGAGCCAUUUCAAAGUAUGUCAAAGAAGUGUAUAUUGGAAUAAGAUAGUCCAGUUUCUUUUAGAGCUUGUUAUCUGUCACGCUGGUAUCUUACUGCUUCAAAGAGUCUAUCUGGUCAGUCUUUAGGUCUCUGUUUUAAUGUUAAUACUGGUCAGCUGUGCCUGAAUUCCACCGGGAGAAAGGUAUAAUGAGAUAUGCCUGGCCAACCAUGCCCGUCACAGCCUGAACUAAUGUUUCCAGGUAGCUUUGGAAUGCUGUUUGCUGAGAAGGAGGGGUCCCUUCAGUUGGUUGGCAGACUUACCAUUUUAUAUGUGGUUGAUAUCCUCAUUGAACGGAUAAGGCUGUGGAGCUCAAGGAGGUUCAGUAAUGCUAGUUAG